rnacentral:rRNA from 1 species
AGCAAAUCUCAAAAAGACCGUCCCAGUUCGGAUCGCAGGCUGCAACCCGCCUGCGUGAAGUUGGAAUCGCUAGUAAUCGCGGAUCAGCAUGCCGCGGUGAAUACGUUCCCGGGCCUUGUACACACCGCCCGUCACACCAUGAGAGUCGGGAACACCCGAAGUCCGUAGCCUAACCGCAAGGGGGGCGCGGCCGAAGGUGGGUUCGAUAAUUGGGGUGAAGUCGUAACAAGGUACC